rnacentral:rRNA from 1 species
UACGUAGGGUGCAAGCGUUAAUCGGAAUUACUGGGCGUAAAGCGUGCGCAGGCGGUUUUGUAAGUUUGUCGUGAAAGCCCCGGGCUCAACCUGGGAAUGGCGAUGAAGACUGCAAGGCUUGAAUCUGGCAGAGGGGGGUAGAAUUCCACGUGUAGCAGUGAAAUGCGUAGAGAUGUCGAGGAACACCGAUGGCGAAGGCAGCCCCCUGGGUCAAGAUUGACGCUCAUGCACGAAAGCGUGGGGAGCAAACAGG